CUUCGGUGUGAGUAAAGCGGCGGACGGGUGAGUAACGCUUAGGAAUCUACCUAGUAGUGGGGGACAACUCGGGGAAACUCGAGCUAAUACCGCAUACGCCCUACGGGGGAAAGCGGGGGACCUUCGGGCCUCGUGCUAUUAGAUGAGCCUGCGUUGGAUUAGCUAGUUGGUGGGGUAAAGGCCUACCAAGGCGACGAUCCAUAGCUGGUCUGAGAGGAUGAUCAGCCACACCGGGACUGAGACACGGCCCGGACUCCUACGGGAGGCAGCAGUGGGGAAUAUUGCGCAAUGGGCGAAAGCCUGACGCAGCCAUGCCGCGUGUGUGAAGAAGGCCUUCGGGUUGUAAAGCACUUUCAAUUGGGAGGAAAGGUUCGCGGUUAAUAACCGUGAGCUGUGACGUUACCUUUAGAAGAAGCACCGGCUAACUCCGUGCCAGCAGCCGCGGUAAUACGGAGGGUGCAAGCGUUAAUCGGAAUUACUGGGCGUAAAGCGCGCGUAGCUGGUCUGUUAAGUCGGAUGUGAAAGCCCCGGGCUCAACCUGGGAACUGCAUU
rnacentral:rRNA from 1 species